CCUACGGGAGGCUGCAGUGAGGAAUAUUGGUCAAUGGCCGGGAGGCUGAACCAGCGAAGCCGCGUGAGGGAAGAAGGCCCUACGGGCUGUAAACCCCGUUUGUCAGGGAGCAAGGUGCAGGUCGGGACCUGCUGUGAGAGUACCUGAAGAAAAAGCAUCGGCUAACUCCGUUCCAGCAGCCGCGGUAAUAAGGAGGAUGCGAUGGUUAUCCGGAUUUGUGGGGGUAAACGGGUGCGCAGGCGGAGGCAAAAGUCAGCGGUAAAAUCCCGGGGCGCAACCCGGCACCGCCGUUGAAACUGUGUCCCUUGAGUGCGCGAAGUGUAGGCGGAAUGCGUGGUGUAGGGGUGAAAUGCAUAGAUAUCACGCAGAACUCCGAUCGCGAAGGCAGCCUACCGGCGCGCAACUGACGCUCAUGCACGAAAGCGUGGGUAUCGAACAGGAUUAGAUACCCGGGUAGUC
rnacentral:rRNA from 1 species